rnacentral:rRNA from 1 species
GCUCCCCUACGGGACGCAGCAGUCGAGAAUCAUUCACAAUGGGGGAAACCCUGAUGGUGCGACGCCUCGUGGGGGAAUGAAGGUCUUCGGAUUGUAACCCCCUGUCAUGUGGGAGCAAAUUAAAAAGAUAGUACCACAAGAGGAAGAGACGGCUAACUCUGUGCCAGCAGCCGCGGUAAUACAGAGGUCUCAAGCGUUGUUCGGAAUCACUGGGCGUAAAGCGUGCGUAGGCUGUUUCGUAAGUCGUGUGUGAAAGGCGCGGGCUCAACCCGCGGACGGCACAUGAUA